rnacentral:rRNA from 1 species
UACGUAGGGGGCUAGCGUUGUCCGGAAUCAUUGGGCGUAAAGCGCGCGUAGGCGGCCCGGUAAGUCCGCUGUGAAAGUCAAAGGCUCAACCUUUGAAUGUCAGCGGAUACUGCCGGGCUAGAGUCCGGAAGAGGCGAGUGGAAUUCCUGGUGUAGCGGUGGAAUGCGCAGAUAUCAGGAGGAACACCGGUGGCGAAGGCGGUUCUCUGGGCAUUACCUGACGCUGAGGAGCGAAAGCAUGGGGAGCGAACAGG